CAUGUAGGUUUUUUCCUACUCUUUUCUGCUCCUUUCUUCCUGCUGUCGUAAGGAAUAGUAGCUCCAAGAGUGAUACGUUUUAUCCAGCCAGACAUGGAAGCGUUAGCCAGGCUCAACCAAACCUCUACAAUCCUUUCAUGGAGGACUCCUACCUCAGACACUACCUCUCCUGUAGCCAAACGAGGUGACUCCACCAGUUGAGGCAGUUAUUCUUGUUCUCUCCUUCAUCUGGUCUCUACUCUUGUCCUCUUCCUAUGACUGAUGGAGGAGCUAGACUAUAGUAUGUUCAGGUUGACUUCUAACUAAAUGAAACUUAAAUAACUCAAAGGUCUUUAAUCUAAUCAAUACCAAAUUUACACACAGA